rnacentral:misc_RNA from 1 species
CUUUUUAGGAACAGUGUUGUGGAAAUUUUAUUACAACCGCAUCUUGAUUUGAAUAUUUGAUGAAAAUUCUCCACGCGGACAACCGUUCGACCGAGAAGUAAUCGUCGAAAAUUUUGCACAAAGGUGAAAAGCUCCGACAACGCAUCCGCACGAUCCGGGCAACUUGAAUUUUUCAAUGGCGAAAGGGAAGGUGUAGUCUUGUGGGUUGUAGACCAAGAAGCGAUGGAAAAUAUUUUUCUGGACGCAUUUGGACUCGUAGCAGGACGGGACCAAGGGGCAGGUGGUGCCCACGACCACGUCGCAUUCUUCAAUUCGAGCAGUUUGCGUGUACUUGAUGCCGUAAGAUUCGACGCCGUUGACGAUGGUGCGCCACUGGCCGUCGACGUUGAUGGCCCGGAAAGGACGGACGUAAUCGGUGGAACUCGGGCAAAGUUAUGCAUCAGUGCCAUCUUACUUGCUGGAGUGUUUGCCGAUCCGGAGGCAGCUGCUGAGCCCCAACAAUAUCCCAAACCAGCCUAUCCAGCAGCUUAUGGCCAGAAGUACAACAAUUACUGCAACCCGCGAAAGGCACCAACCUGCGCCAAAACCGGCACUGAAACUUUUUGUCUGAAAGACACCGAAUACCCAGAGAAAGAAGUCAAGUACGCCAUCGAUUACGACUCGUUGGUGCUGAAGAAAUACGCCGAUGUUGCCGAUCAGUCGGCCGAUAAUUUGGUCGAUGGACUGACCUCUUUGGCUGAGGCGCACUUCGACUACUCCAACUACAAAGGGAAAUUCUUCGAGAAGGGCCACUGGUCUGGUGACGAGGGAUACAUCUGCCCUAGCGACGUUGUUUAUGCUCGCCCACUCCGAGCAGUGAAUGUCGAUGGAGAAUGGCGGGUCAUCGUCCAAGAAAACGCCUGGCCCGGAUACACCCAGACUCAACGCGUCGAAACUUGUUUGUUCCCUGGUGCAUCUUGUCGCACCUUGGCCCCUUGUUUCGGCAGCAAAUGUCUGCAAAAAUAUGUUUACCAGCGGAUGCUUUCCUUCGAUCCUUGCGAUCCCCAGAAGGGAAUCUUCAUCGACAUCUACAAGUUGCCAUCGGCCUGCUCUUGCCACAUUCCCGGUAAACUGCACUGACUCAAUUCAUUUUUCAAAAUGAAAUUCCAUCGUGAUGUUCAUUUAAUUUAAAACUGUCAAUGUGGACCUUACGAUGAUAACUUAACUAACACUUGUCUUAAAAUAGCAUAACUUGAAUCUAUCAAUUUGAAAUUCUGCUCUUGUAUUUCAUUUGGUUGAAAUUGUGAGAUCUGAAGAAUAUUAUUACCAAAUCAUACCGAGAAAUUUCAGAAUAAAAAUGGAAAGGAUUGGGCUUCCACUAAAGAAAACUUUUCAAAUAUUUUGUUGUUGAAAUUGAAUUAAAAGAAAUAAUUUUCCUAUUGUUAGAGGAAUUCCAAUCUUCAGCCUAUAUUUGUUGGUAUCAAGUAUCAACACUGACGACGGUUCCAAAUCAGGCAACAAGAUGUCACUUGAAGGACUCUCACUCAAGAAGGAACGACAACUGAGUCGUGAGAUCCAGUGAUUUUUGUGUAUGUCUGACACUGUGGUAUAUCGUCGACUCAAUGUGAGUGACUAUGUGGAAACGCUGCAGCUUCUCCUAAAAGACGCAUGUCAUCACAUCAACAACCAGCAACAAGAGAACGGUCUAACUAAAGGCUAACAAUUUCUUCGAAAUCGAAAUUGAGCAGCAAAUGAAUCUACAAAUCCUGAAUAUUUCCGGGUGAUGGGACGAGCUUUUCGAAGACAAGUCUUUUAUUAUUUAGUUGCUUUCAACAAUGGAGCAAAUAAGGAGUCAACACGAUAAUAUUCGUAAGAGAUUUUAAAAAAUGUUUAUUGAUAGCAUCCAGAAUGCAUUAUUGAUUAAGUAAGGUUAUUCAUAUUAAAAGUCAUAUAGUCAUUCUCA